AUUGAACGCUGGCGGCAGGCUUAACACAUGCAAGUCGAGCGGAGCGAGGGUGCUUGCACCUUAGCUUAGCGGCGGACGGGUGAGUAAUGCUUAGGAAUCUGCCUAUUAGUGGGGGACAACAUUCCGAAAGGGAUGCUAAUACCGCAUACGCCCUACGGGGGAAAGCAGGGGAUCUUCGGACCUUGCGCUAAUAGAUGAGCCUAAGUCGGAUUAGAUAGUUGGUGGGGUAAAGGCCUACCAAGGCGACGAUCUGUAGCGGGUCUGAGAGGAUGAUCCGCCACACUGGGACUGAGACACGGCCCAGACUCCUACGGGAGGCAGCAGUGGGGAAUAUUGGACAAUGGGGGGAACCCUGAUCCAGCCAUGCCGCGUGUGUGAAGAAGGCCUUUUGGUUGUAAAGCACUUUAAGCGAGGAGGAGGCGCUCUAGGAUAAUACCCUAGAUGCGUGGACGUUACUCGCAGAAUAAGCACCGGCUAACUCUGUGCCAGCCGCGCAGUAACAC
rnacentral:rRNA from 1 species